rnacentral:rRNA from 2 species
ACACGUGGGUAACCUGCCUGUAAGACUGGGAUAACUCCGGGAAACCGGGGUUAAUACCGGAUGGUUGUUUGAACCGCAUGGUUCAAACAUAAAAGGUGGUUUCGGCUACCACUUACAGAUGGACCCGCGGCGCAUUAGUUAGUUGGGGAGGUAACGGCUCACCAAGGCAACGAUGCGUAGCCGACCUGAAAGGGUGAUCGGCCACACUGGGACUGAAACACGGCCCAAACUCCUACGGGAGGCAGCAGUAGGGAAUCUUCCGCAAUGGACGAAAGUCUGACGGAGCAACGCCGCGUGAGUGAUGAAGGUUUUCGGAUCGUAAAGUUCUGUUGUUAGGGAAAAACAAGUGCCGUUCAAAUAGGGGGGCACCUUGACGGUACCUAACCAAAAAGCCACGGUUAACUACGUGCCAGCAGCCGCGGUAAUACGUAGGGGGCAAGCGUUGUCCGGAAUUAUUGGGCGUAAAGGGCUCGCAGGCGGUUUCUUAAGUCUGAUGUGAAAGCCCCCGGUUCAACCGGGGAGGGUCUUUGGAAACUGGGGAACUUGAGUGCAAAAGAGGAGAGUGGAAUUCCACGUGUAGCGGUGAAAUGCGUAGAGAUGUGGAGGAACACCAGUGGCGAAGGCGACUCUCUGGUCUGUAACUGACGCUG